rnacentral:lncRNA from 1 species
UACAGCGGAUGAUCAAAAUUUUUUUCCCAGAAAUCUGUACAUAUUUACGAAAGUCCACUUGGGGACAAUUUUCUAUCGAAAUGGAUAGAGCCAAAAAAGCAAGCAGAAAAGGAGAAACUCACACUGGAGAAGAAUAACCAGAACUUCAAAGAAGUCUCUGAGAGACUAAAGAACUUAGAAAGUAUCCUGGAACCUCAUAUGAAAGUGAAAAAGUGGAAAUGGAAGAAAAUGCUAUGCAAAUACAGAGCAUUGCUAAUACACAUAAUUAGUGAGGCGCAGCAAAUGAUGAAGCCAGAUGUGGAACUCAUCCAGAAUGUGAGAAGAACAUUAACAAGGUAUACUUCUCUCUCAGCGAUGGAACCCCUCACACUGGUUUUAGAGCCAUACUAUUUCACUGUGUUGGCAGUUUUUAAAAUGUAUUCCAAAAUCCACAGCUAG